rnacentral:lncRNA from 1 species
AGCGGGUGAGCGCGUUCACGCGUUCGUCACUUGUCUCUGCGCCAACGACGAUGACCGCGAGUCAUGCAGCACAUGCAGCUUUCGUCUUGACAACCACUGGACAACGUAGUCCGUGAACCGGUGUCCCGUAGCGACUUCGUCGUGACUGCCUCAGAGAACGUCUAGUACUGCCUUUGCUUGAUUGACGGACGUCGAGGGCGAAACA